UGAGCGUCUUCUUCUCCAUGUUAAGCUCGGCUAGUGGAGAACUGCACGAGGGGGUGGCAGAUAGGGACCGCAGCUCGGAGAGAGCCUGGUCGGCCAAUAAUAGCGUUGAAGGCCGAGCCGACCUGGGCUACAAAAAAGUUUAGCUUCACAGUACUUUCUCGGGGCGCGCGCACAGCCGUGAUUAGCAGGCCGAGAACCCCUUUCGCAGGUAUGAGACCUUCUGUGAAGCCGGCCAGAGGGUUGCUCAUUUUCUCCAGUUGUUUUACAACCAUUGGAAGGCAUCAAGAUGUCCGUAGUGCUUUUAUUAUCCACAAGUCCUUUUACGUCAGACUUUGCAAUAACUACAGCAUGGCUAUGAGGGGUUUCAACACCCUUUUGGUCUUCAUAAAGGGAGCUCAGGGUCCCGUUCUUCUGGCUCCCCCCUUUUAGUCACGGACGAACCGACCCAGUCGACCUCGGC
rnacentral:lncRNA from 1 species